rnacentral:misc_RNA from 1 species
GUUGUUGCCGCAUGUACACUUCAGUAUAAUGUUUUCCAUUGGUUGGAAAAGAUGCCGGCUUCUCUUUUGAAUGACAAUAGAUCUGAGGAACCUUGUCCACUGUUCGUCUCAGAAGAAGAUGUAAUGCCUUUAGUUCCUGAUGGGGAAAACAAGCCAGUAGCAGACUCCAAUGAAUUUUCUACACAAGGGAUGCGAACAUCAAGCAAGUCAUGCCCGUAUUUCGACCAGAGUCUCUAUCAAUCAUCUGAUGGUGUGUCCUCUAGCAGAGGAG